rnacentral:rRNA from 1 species
CAAGUCGAACGAACGAACCUAGCUUGCUAGGUAAGUUAGUGGCAAACGGGUGAGUAACACGUGGGAAUCUACCCAGUAGUACGGGAUAACAGUUGGAAACGACUGCUAAUACCGUAUAGUAUCGAGAGAUUAAAGAUUUAUCGCUACUGGAUGAGCCCGCGUCAGAUUAGGUAGUUGGUGGGGUAAUGGCCUACCAAGCCCGGGAUCUGUAGCUGGUCUGAGAGGAUGAUCAGCCACACUGGGACUGAGACACGGCCCAGACUCC